rnacentral:lncRNA from 1 species
GUACAUUUUUUUUUUAGCGAAAGGACACGACGUUUAGUUCACUGUCAGAUGGGCACGUGUGUGCAUGCUUAGCAAUCAGUAAACGUUCCAAGUUUUCAGUGUAUGUUGGUGCAGUGUUUGAAAUAUUAAAUAGUCCCAAGCUACAUUUCUCUGCUCCUUUCUAUUAUAAACAACCUCAUUUGUUAACAUAGUCACUAUGAUAAAGCUCUCGUAACAUUGAACAAAAUUCCUUAAAACUUUCCAUACUAGGCAUCUGGCCCCCACAAUGUUUUACAAAUAAUCAAUUACUGUUAAAACUCGAUCUUGCAAAACUAGAUUUUACGAAGUUCCAAAUCUAACGAACCAAUUUCCAUUCCCCAGCAUGAUGAUGAUAAUGACGUCUGCUGCCUCUUCCUUCAGAAGCGGGAGAUCAACGGGCUAAGCCAGAUCAGGCGAAAGAAAAAGAAAGGAAGGAGGGAAGGUUAAGUUUAGAAGAAAUUUUUAAAAGUGGAAGGAAAAAGGGGAAAAGAGAGAAAUAUGAGUCCUUUCGAAUGCACCCUCGGUGCAUCACAACUGUCGUUACCGCCGCGGCGUUUGUGUUUGCUUGACCUGUCUUUUUCACCAGUGCUCGAGCUGCCACUUCUGCACCUACACAGCUUGCCAGCUGGGCGGUUCGCUGUUCCACAAAAUUCGAGAGCCCCUGACAGCGCGCUGUUGUCGUGUUUGUCAUGCCAGGCGCGUUUUGCUGUUAGGUGUCGGGAGUCCUGAGCACGAGGUACCACUGGGUGCAGGCCAGUACACUCUAGCACGAUGUGCCGGAGUGUCUCUUCUGCAUCCUGGCACAAGGGGCAUGUUUUGUCCAGCUUGACAGUGAACCUGGCUCGCAGCGACCACAUCCUAAACACACCACUUGGAGCUUCGCACAGCAGUCCACUGCCUCUGGAGUUGUCCUAAAACACCUCCUUGGCAAUAUCGCUCUUUGCCUCUCGAUACAAUGCUAGGGCCCUCUUCAUAUGGCCUGACUCCCUCCAUCUCUCGGUCUCCACCCCUCUAACCGACUCCUGCACCUUUUUCCUUAUGUAGCACUGGAGGGGGGCCGUCAGCCAGAUUGCUUCCACCCUGUACCACUCCGACAGCCAACAGGUUCGGGCGACCCAUUUCAUCCGUGCCAACAAGAGGUGUACGUACUUGUACACCUCCCGGGCCCAACGGCCAUCUGUCAGGCUGCUGAGGCACCUCUCGUACGCCAGUCUGGGUGACUGCCUCCCUAAUCUUUGACCACCCAAGGUCGCCCUGCACUGCCUCAUUUGGAAUGAAGCUGUGCACCGCCAGGGCUGUCCGACCUGCUUCGAGUGCCUGCCGAGAAACCUCGAGUGCCUGCCGGGAAAGUCGGAGCUGGGACCGCAACACCCUUCCACAGCUACCUCUAUCUCCUCUGUAUACCCUCCUCAAGGUAGCUCAAAUUGAACCCCAGUCCAGACUCUUGACAGAUUCCUCUCCAUUCCGGCCACAUACAGCAUAAAGAGCAGCGGUGACAUUGGCCAGUCCUGCCCAAGUCCCUCAGAUACCUUAAUUCGUCGAGUGGUCAAGUUGCCCCUCGAAACCACUGCCUCAGUGUCCGCAUAAGCACUGCAGCAGGUUGCGCCACUCCUCUCUGACACAUCAAGCGCCUGCAAUAUCUGUCGCAGUGUGGCCUGCUCAAUGCUGUCGUAAGCCUGAGAUAUGUCGAGGAAGGCAAACAGGAGGGGGCACUCUUCCUCUACUGCAAUUUCCGUCACCUGGGUGACAAUAUCUUCCAGGCAACGGCCGAUGUACCCAUAGGGUUCAAUGUUGACCUCUUCCCGAUUUAACAAACUAAUUUGGCCACCAAACCCAAUUUAAAGAAGUUUUAAAGAGUAAAAAAGCGGUGAUUUCCUUCUAAUUUUGACUAUGAUGAAUUUUUCUUCGAGCUUGCGCUCUAACGCUAUCACAUUUACGAGGCUGCAUGCCGCACCCAUACACACAAGAACAACGAAUGUGGCAGUCCGUAAUGCUGUUACGUGCCAGAGGCGGCGGCGGUUGCUUUCGUUAUUUCAUGGUUUAUGUGACAGACAGCGCUGAUCAUCUCCUGGUAUCUUUCUCGCUCGGUCUGCUUGCACAAUCACUGCAUUAAUUCUCUGCAUUAUCGCAUAUCGGUAGCCUGUCAUAGCUUCACGUGACCGUCUACCUGGCCUGCGCAUGUAACUUAUAAUUAUGGUCCACUAGUGGCCUGGCACUGUGGUCUAUCCUCUUCCGCAAUGAAGCAUGUUUUACACAGCUUUCUAGCAAAAAAACAUCAUUGAGAGAAAAAGAUGGAGCUGGCCAGGUCAUGUCAUGAGAAGGACAGAUAACUGAAAGUCUGAUAAAGUGUCAGAAAAGAUACCAAGAAAUGGGAAGCGGGGUCGAGGAUGGCAGAGGGUUAGCUUAAGCGAUGAAAUUAAGAAGUUGGAAGGCAUGAAAUGUAACAGGCUCGUGUAGGACAGGGUGGGUUGGAGAUCAUUGCGUGAGGGUUUCGUCUUGCAGUGCACAUACGAUAUUAUGACAAUGACCAUUUUACAAUAUGAAAACUUUCUUUAUUUAGGUUAGCAUUAUAGACUGCUUCUCUUCAGUGCAAAUUUCAACAAGAAAUAUUUCAGAAAACUUAAAGUUACAACCAGUAUCAUAGUAAAUAUACAUGUGUUAUUUCAAAAGAAUGCCAGAAAAUCCCAAUAUUCUAUUAAGUCAUUGUGCGUAAUCUUUUCUGCUUGUUAAAUGCUUCAGCUACUUUAGCCAAGCAUGAGCUAACCCAAACUUUUUGUUGUCUUAUUUUGAAAUUUGCAUGAUUUAGAUACUUCACAAGUUAUAUUAAAAUUUGUGAUAAAAAUAAUGUUUGCUGCCAGUUUGGUUCGUAGAUCCUAAACACUGUUAAAUCUCAUCACAUGUAACCCUCAUCCGUGUGAUGAUCUAGUUUAACAUGACCGGAGGAAAGCUGUUGAGAAUGGGUCAGUAGUACAACUAAUAUAUAGGCAGUAGCAUUGUCAUGCGAGUUCAGCUGAAAAAAAUAAAGGAAAUAUGCACUCUCACAAGCCUGCAGUAGUCUAGUGCCUUGUGAGGUGAGGUUCGUUACGCCUCUGCGGUGCAACCGUCACUUGUGAGCGCAGGCCAACGUCCCAGUGCAGAAGGAAGUGCAAGCAGUAGGCAGCCACAGCUCGCUAGAUGUUGCAGUCGGCUGCUCUGGGGUCUCAAGCACGCUCGAUGUCCCAGAGACAACCGGCGGCGGGUCGUUGCAAGACGGCAGCAGGACUCCCACAUUUUGUGCUAGGUCACGCCACAGCCCGAGUAGCUUGGUGGCUUGAAAACAGGAGCCUGGCCUUUUGAACCUCUCACUUAAAUGUGGGUUUGCAGUGGGCUUUCUGGCCUAGUCUUGCUGGCAUUCCAUCCAGCUCUUUUCUACGUAACGCCCCCCCCCUCCUUUUUUUUGCAUCCUCUGUGCGAGACUCCAAAUCUACCUUCGUUUUCGUUCUCUUCUAGAGGGAUGCUGCGCUGUCGUCUACUCCACUCGCAUUUUUGCAGGCAUUUCGUCACAGCAAUAAUGGAGCAUUCUGCGACAAAACAUGAUAAUUCAUGCUACUGUUGUGUCAUAAAUCAACACACAAAAAACUGGUCGCAUCCAAAUGUUCAACCACAUUGGUCUCCACGCAAUGAGAAGUCCAAUAUCCUGAAUGGAAAUCUACCCAGUCAUUCACUUUGUUGUGAGAUGUGCAGCAAGGGAUAAAGGGCUCUGGCAAAAGGUAGGGGUACUUGCCGCCAAGGACGUCAAAGGGAGGAAGGGUGACAAUGGUGGAAAUGAAUCUGUGCUCCAAGCAGGUGUACAACGAGCUAAAAGCCAUGAACAUAACUGAAAAUAUCCACAAAUCGAGCAUUUUAAAAACUGCUAAUAAAACAUUUUGUUUUGGCUUCAUC